rnacentral:lncRNA from 1 species
CUGACGGCCGGCCCCCCCCCGGGGGCGGAGUGGUGAGAUAGUUGGAAAAACGUACCUCAGGACCUGCGCUGCUGCCGCCUUCCAGCUGUGCUGGUGUGGGGCUGAGCCCUCGGGCCCUUUCCUGAGCUUCGGCGAUGAAAGAGAUGAGCAGAAGAAAAGUUGCUGCUUGAUCCGGGGAGCUAUGAGAUGUUGUCUACUUGGUGAGAUCAGCAAGUUCUAAACUCCUCAAACCAGCAGUUGCAUUAGACAAGGUCAACGGCUAAAGGCUUUCUGAGUUUAACAAAAUGCAGUGAACUUCCAGAAGGGAAAGAGCCUCUGAGGAAAAAAAAAAAAAAAAAGGAAAACUGCUUCUCUGGACUUUUCCUUACAGAAGUGACCAUUACCCAACCCUUAUAACUGAGAAGACUACCAGCAGCCUGAGGACAAAGAGGAUCCUUGGAAGAGAGGCAAACUGCACGAGCUCCAACCUGCUGGAGGAAAUGAGUGAUCAGCAACAUCUCGCUUGCCUGACCUGGGUUCAUAGGAAGAAGUUUUCAGAGGGGUAGGUGCAUCUCACAGACGUACCUUAUUAAUGGAUAAGCAAAUAUAAUCACCAUUAAAAACCUGUAGUACAGUCCCUGUGGUAAGCAGUAUACGUUUUGAGACCACAGCAGGUAAGAGGUUACUGAAGGAAAAAAAAAUGGGUACCAG